GAACCGUGAAGGACUGAUUCUAAUUACGCACAGACGUUUUUCAGUAAUUUGCUACUUCAACUGUUUAUUUCGCGAAUAAAAUGGCAAAUAAGUCAAAGAAAGUUACCUCUAAGACUAGAUACACGAAUGUAGAAAUGAUUUUGGAAGAGAUUGACCGGGAUAGUGAGACAGAUUUGGCAGAGAUUGAAGACUCCAUCAGCUCCCAUAGCUUCGAUUCUGAAACUGAGGACUUUUUUUUGAACGGAGAGGACAUCGUUUUGGACUGUGGCACUGACUCCGACUGGGAGCCCCCAGUGCCAAGGUGUCCACCCCCCCCUCUGAAGCUGGUUCAUCCUGUACCCCUGCUGUCUCUGGCUCCACACCUCCUGGGUCAUCUAGAGGUGUGAAGAGGAAGAGGGGAAGUGUGCCACCCACUAACAGAGGGACAGAAGGGCGUUGGCACACCGUCCUAGAAGAUGAUGUGGAGCCACCACAACCAACUUUUAGGCCGAUAAGGAAGCCAGGGCCUCAGGUGAACCCGACCUCCAAUUACACCCCCCUUCAGCUUUUCCAACUGUAUUUUACCACAUCUGUUGUAGGUUCGCUCAUGUCCAACACUAAUAAGAAUGGGAAGAAGAAACAAGCGGGCAAAAAGGUAGCAUGGAAGCCCAUAUCCAUGUCAGAGUUUUUCUGCUACCUUUCUCUGGUCAUCUACAUGGGGCUGGUGAAGCUGAAAAGCCUGAAGGACUACUGGAAAACAUCAGCUCUGUACAAAUUGCCUUUCCCCAUGACUGUUAUGUCCUGAAAGAAGUUUCUGAUGAUUUCACAGGCGCUUCACAUCAGUGACCCAAAGGUUGAUGACGCGCUAAUCGGCUACUACAAUGUUCUCCACAAGACAAUGAAAUGGUACAAGACCUUCUUCUAUCAUUUCAUCGACAUCGCCGUAGUGAAUGCAUUCAUCCUACACAAGGAAAUGGCAACGAGCUGUGGAAAGCCCUACCUCUCACAGAAAGACUUCAGAGAGCAGCUCAUCAAGGAGCUUGCUGGCUACAGCACCACUGCAGCAAGCCCUGUCCCUUCUGCUCCUGCCACAAGUGUUCAUCUGCCCAAAUAUAUUUGUGCAGGCAUGGAUGUGCCUAAGGGCCAAAAGGGCACAGCAUGGAGGCGUUGCUGUGUUUGCAAGAUGAAGUCUCCCAUCACAUGCAGCACAUGCUCAGUGACCCUCUGCUUUACAUCAGAGAGAGACUGCUAUGGCAUCUGGCAUCAGCAGCAGAACAUUGUCUAGAGUUUUGGCAAUGUUGGUGGGGUUAUAUGGCAAAGUGGGUCUGCGGUCUAGCUGAGAACACCAGUCUGCGGUCUAGCUGAGAACACCAGUCUGCGGUCUAGCUGAGAACACCAGUCUGCGGUCUAGCUGAGAACACCAGUCUGCGGUCUAGCUGAGAACACCAGUCUGCAGUCUAGCUGAGUACACCAGUCUGCAUUCUAGCUGAGCUAGGGUCAUUAUGUUAGAUUUAUUUAUUUAUAUAGUAUUUUUCCUGUCUUACCUGGUGUCUUGUGUGAAUUUAAGUCUGCUCUCUUUCUCUCCUUCUUUCUCUCGGUGGACUUGAACCCCUGGGACAAUGCUUCAGGACUACCUGACAUGAUGACUCCUUGCUGUCCCCAGUCCACCUGGCCUUGCCGCUGUUCCAGUUUCAACUGUUCUGCCUGCUGCUAUGGAACCCUAAACUGUACAUUUUUUCUCCUGGGGUGCUGUCCUGUUGCACACUACAAAAACACUGUGAUCUCCACCCCUCAUUGCCUUGUUUCUUCCUAGGUUUUUGCCUUUCUAGGUUGUUUUUCUUAGCCACCGUGCUUCUACACCUGCAUUGCAUGCUGUUUGGGGUUUUAGGCUGGAGCUAUGUAAAUAGAUUUGAUAGAGGACUGAGGGUGUGUAAAAGUGUGUAAAUAGUUACCCAUGUUUAUUUGUAAAUGUAUGUAUAUAUUUAGUUUUUCAAAAAUAAAAAAAUCAAAAAAAAAUUCAAAAAAUUUUUUUUAAUUUUUUUUUUCUUCAAUUUUUUUACUUUUUUUGGUGGGGGGUGUGUUAGAAUACCAUUUUGGUAUUUUGUAUAUAGUUAUUGGUUUCACAAUGUGUACUUCACCAAUUUGGCCACUUGGGUACAUUUGGGUAACUUGUGUGGGACACCUGGGUGACGUCACAAUAAAUGUUAUGUAGCACACUCAUUUUGGAAGUUAUCAUUUUAAAAUUUUGCACAGGUACUGUUGCCCUCUUAAUUUUUGCACUAAAAUUGUCCCCAUCGUCGUAUCUGAAUUUUUGUUUUAUCUUGUUCAUUUGAAAGAUGAUGAUACAAAAAUAAAUAGAAAAAACUAAUGUUUUUUCCCAUAGUUUUAUCUAAA